UAAUUAAUUAAUUAAUAUUUGAAGGGCAAAUAAGAAAAGUAUUUGCUAUAUGAAGGGUAUAUAAGAAAAGUUAGUUACGGUAGAAGGGUAUAUUGGAAUGGGCAAAAUGGUAAUUUUUAAGAGAUAACGGCAGCUCACUAACGGAACUUAACUCCAGAGGUAUAUUAGAAAGACUUGGAAUAUAAGAAGGGUAUUUUCAAUAUUAGCCUUGUAAAUAAGAAAACCGGAAACUUUUCGGGAGUAUAUAGACAAUUGUUCGUAAAAAAAAAUACUGACCGUCCAUUGCACGGACUUCAAAAAUGAUAAACAAAGCAUAUAAAUUCACCAUCACUACCUCAUGAUGUUUAUCUCAAAAAAUAAAAUUUGACUAUACUAUAUUUAAGAUAUUUCACUAGUGUAGGACCCGCCAUCAAUUAAGGGCUUGUUUUGUUCAAGGGUGGAAUUAGAAUGGAUAAUGGAAUGGGAAUAAAUUGGAAUGGUAAUUGGAAUGGCCCACUCCCCCAAAACGUUUUGUUUAUUUGUGGGUUGGGAAUUAGAAUGUGUUAUUCAUAUUUCAUUGUUUGGUUCGUAUAAACUAAAAAAAUUAUAGGAUACUAUAAUACUAAUUUUACUCUCAAAUACAAAUUUAUAUUAUUUAAAAUUUAUGAAAAAUAUAAUAUUAUUCUCUAAUAAGUUUUCCAAAAAAAAAUAUCAAAUUUAUUUUUAAAAACUUUUAUUGAUGUGGGUUAGGAAUAGGGUUUUGAGAGAGGAUAGGUUUUUUUUUUUUUUUGAUGAGAAAGGGGUGAAGAGAAGGAGGGUGAGAUGAUCACAUAGGCUUCGAGAAUUUAGUGGGCUUCCGGAAUGAAAUUUCAAUCCGGACUAGAAGACCGGAAUCAAGUUGAAGGCUAAUAGGCCAUUCCCAUUCCAGUCCGGAAUAGGAAUCCCAAACCGAUUCAUGCGAACCAAACAAAAUUAACCGGAUUUGAUCAAACCGAUUCCCAUUCCAUACCCAAAAUGGAUGAACCAAAUAAGCCCUAAUAGUUUGCCUUGAGCCUGGGCCAGGUGCACCACAUCCGCCAUGAACCACCCAAUUAUUUGAUUGUUUAAUUUUCAUUUUUCCACAUUGUCAUCAACUUUCUUUAUUUGACUUUGUAGUGUGUUAUAUAUU
rnacentral:lncRNA from 1 species